UACGUAGGGGGCAAGCGUUGUCCGGAAUUAUUGGGCGUAAAGAGCUCGUAGGCGGUUUGUCGCGUCUGCUGUGAAAACUCGGGGCUUAACUCCGGGCCUGCAGUGGGUACGGGCAGACUAGAGUGCGGUAGGGGAGACUGGAAUUCCUGGUGUAGCGGUGAAAUGCGCAGAUAUCAGGAGGAACACCGGUGGCGAAGGCGGGUCUCUGGGCCGUAACUGACGCUGAGACGCGAAAGCGUGGGGAGCAAACAGG
rnacentral:rRNA from 1 species